UUCAAAAGUUGAGCUUAGAUUGUAUUCUCUUUUCAUUGAUUUUUAAAAUGAAACUCUUGCUUAUAGUCAGUUUUCUGUCAGUAGAACAGCUGAAGUUUUCAUUCUGAUUUCAGGACCAAAAUAAGCAGUUCUUAAGCUGUGUCCCCACAGGACACUGUAUGACGUAGACUGGCUCAAGAUUUGGUUCCAUCUGCUGAGUGAAGUGACAAAAGUGAGGCACAGCAAGACAGAAUCACAUGCCUAAGCUCACACCUCUUUGGAAAGUUGGCCCAACUGAUGCCUGCUAUGAAUCAAAAGAAUUGGGAUAUGGGAUUGAGUCAAGAUUGGUCAGUCAUCUAUCAGCAUCACGAUCAGCCUAGAGGGAUGUUCCUGGCAAGAGGAGGCAGUUCAUUAACACUGGGUGAUGGGACCUGUCCUAGCUUUAAAUUCUAUCAAAAAUUAUUUGCAGAAGUGCAAAACAUAUAAAAACAUGUGUCAGCCUAAUUAGUAGUUGAAAAAUGCAUAUUACAUGGAGAAAUAUUAUUUUUACCCGUCAAAUUGGGAAGCAAAUGCCCAUGCCUGUGCUGUGAAGGAAUGCUGAUAGAUUUUUGGGUGGGGAAACAAAUUGAUUUAACCACUCUUGGAAAGCAUUUUGGUGAUACAUAACCAGAAUCUAAAAAGUUUUUUUUUAUUCUUUCAUCUCAUAAUUCUUCUUCUGUCAAUGUAAACCAAGGAAAUAAUAUGAGUUACAGAGAAAGCCUAUGACUAACGUUGAAUAUUAAAGCGGUAUUUAUAAUGGUGAAAGAGAGAAGACAUUCAGAUAUGUGACAAAAAGUAAUUAUAAGUAGAUCCUGACACUGUCAUCGAUUCAAUUAGACAUUAGGCAAUCAUUCAAUAUUAUGUAGGGUGUUGCAAUAACAUGGAAAAGCCUUAAGUUAAUGUGUUGAAUAGGAAGAAAUAGACUAAAAUAAUAAUAAUUUAUUUGGCGAUAGGAUGAUGAAUACUUGCUUUCUUCCUCUUCGGUUUAUUUAUAUCUUCCAGAUUUUCUUUACUGAGGACAAAUUACUUUCAUAAGGGAAAAAAGAGGAAAAUUGAGGUUGUUUUUUCCCAGCAGACAAUCAUAUACUCAGACAACACAAAGCCAGAAAAUGAUGUUUGU
rnacentral:lncRNA from 12 species